AUAUUUAAAUCUCAAUCACCUGUUAAUCCUGUAUAUAGGCAUAUAUCUCUAUAUACAUAUGUAUGUAAAUACAUUUUUUAAGCCAAAUUCCAGACUUUAUUUGGAUUUCACCAGUUUUUCCAUCAAUACUCUUUAUGUUUCAGAAUCCAGUCCAAGGUACCACAUUGCGUUUAGUAGUUAUGUCUCCUUAGUCUUUGGUCUGUGGCAGUUUGUUGUUUUUUAUAACUUUGGUUGUCUUGAGGAGUACUGUCCUGGUUCUCUGAUGGGCAGCUUUCUGUAGACCAGAUAGGAUCAUCCAGUUCUGGGAAAAGUCUCUUGUAUUCAGGAAAAUAAGGCUGUGAAAGGAAUAACUCUUUUUGCUCUUGUUUAUGUAAUAUAUAUACAUCUAUUAUGCUUAGUAACAACAUACAACUUCAGUACUUCUUUUCAGUAACAUAUUUCUUGGGAUGCAGUUUCUUAUUUGUUGAGAUUCAGAAGAGUAUUAUAGCAUUACAGUUGUGAUCCACUAUUUUAAGAUACACUGAGUUUUUAUUUUUGUGAUGGGUAAGAGCUGGGCUGAGGUGGAGGAACAAGGGAAAAGGAGAUUGUCUGAAAGAGACAGUAGAUUAGAGAGGGACCAAGGCAAAUGGAGUGACAGAUAAUGGAGGAAGAUGAGUGAGCAGCUGCACAGAAGAGAAGCAGGAAUGAAUACUUACUGUUUGCCCACUUAUUCAGUUAAUAUUUAUUGAAUGCUUCUUGUGUGCCAGUCCCAGUACUAGUCAAGAUAUCUGAAAGUGGGGCAGCAUUAAGCCAAUAAACAUGUAGAUAAGUAUAUAAUAAUUACCACUUGUGAUGAGUACUAUAAAGAAAAAGUAAAGGAUGUUGGAGAGAGUGUGGGUGGGGGAACUGCUGCUUAUGGUUGGCUGGGUUGGUGAGGAAGGCUUCUUUGAGUAAAUGACAUUUGAACUCGUCUCUGUAACUUUUGGGGACCUUCCAUACUUACUCCACACUGUUUGUUCCAUAGUUCUCUUAUUUCACAGCACGCACACACACACAUGCCUCUUUCUCCAUAGGAACUAUGCUUAUUUCAGCUUUGUGUCUUUAUAUAUGAUUUCUUCCCAAGGUGCCCCUCUUUCUUCUGCUUGUUGAAGUACUACCUCUUGUUCAAGGAUUUGCUCGAAUCCCAUCUCUUUUAUUAAGUUUUCCACUGUUGAUUUAUGCCUCUGUUUGUCAUUCUGCUUAAGUGAAUAUGGUGUUUGAGGGUAGGAAUAAUAUUUUGUGUUUAUAUCUGUGUGUCUUCACUUAGUCCCGCACAAAGCCAGGAUUAAUAAAGGGUUGUCAAUGGGGCGCCUGGGUGGCUCAGUGGG